GUAUAAUUGUAAAUUGUCCCGAGCGUGUGUGGCGUAGUAUUAGUGUGUGGGGAUCGCUGGGCCGAAGGGCCUGUCUCCGCGCUGUAUCUCUAAACAAAACUUAAAGCUCACCUCACCCUGGCGUGAGGCGGGCACGAGGAACUGCAGAUGCUGGUUUACAACAAAAAAAAGCGCAAAGUGCUGGAGUAACUGAGUGGGUCAGGCAGCGUCUCUGGAGCGAAGGAAUGGGUGAUUUCUUCCGACCCCUCUCUCCACCUGGACUCGCAUCCAUUUCUCCCCUCCCCCUUGCUUCCACCAACGAUCCUUCCUCCGGCUUCAUAAUAUGCUCCUCAUCUAUCCUUAUCUCACACCAGUGUCCCAAUAUCAGUGGAGGAAUAGAUCGGAUAGAUGCACAGAGUCUCUUAACCAGAGCA